AUUGAACGCUGGCGGCAGGCCUAACACAUGCAAGUCGAACGAGCGGCGGACGGGUGAGUAAUGUAUGGGGAACUGCCUGAUAGAGGGGGAUAACUACUGGAAACGGUGGCUAAUACCGCAUACUAUCAGAUGAACCCAGAUGGGAUUAGCUAGUAGGUGGGGUAACGGCUCACCUAGGCGACGAUCUCUAGCUGGUCUGAGAGGAUGAUCAGCCACACUGGAACUGAGACACGGCCCAGACGCCUACGGGAGGCAGCAGUGGGGAAUAUUGCACAAUGGGCGCAAGCCUGAUGCAGCCAUGCCGCGUGUAUGAAGAAGGCCUUAGGGUUGUAAAGUACUUUCAGCGGGGAGGCGUUACCCGCAGAAGAAGCACCGGCUAACUCCGUGCCAGCAGCCGCGGUAAUAC
rnacentral:rRNA from 1 species